rnacentral:misc_RNA from 1 species
ACUAAUCAAUAAGCACACAUAUUAGCCUCCAUGCACAAAGGAAGUGGACCAGAUAGAAUAACUAAGCAUAGACUUUCAAACAUCCACAAUAAUAGCUUCAAUCUCCUAAGGAACAUGGCUUACAGACAUUAACAGAUUAGAUAGAAUGAGAGAAUCCGUCUCAAACACUACUGAGAUAAAUCUCUUAGCAAAUUGGAAAACAAAUCUCAGAGCCAUACUACUGGCUAGGAUACCUGCACUACCAUUAACAAAAUUAUCAAGAUGGUUUUUG